GAGACUCUGUGCGCGUGCAUAUCAAUAAGCGGAGGAAAAGAAACUAACAAGGAUUCCCCUAGUAACGGCGAGUGAAGCGGGAAGAGCUCAAAUUUGAAAUCUUCAAGGGUUCUACCUUGACGAAUUGUAGUUUAUAAGAAGUGUUUUCUGUUAGUGGAGUGGCAAAAGUUCUUUGGAAUAGGACAUCAUAGAGGGUGAGAAUCCCGUAUUUGGUCAUUCCUCCUAGCGUUGUGAUACACUUUCAACGAGUCGGAUUGUUUGGGAAUGCAGUCCAAAAUGGGUGGUAAAUUUCAUCUAAAGCUAAAUAUUGGCGAGGGACCGAUAGCGAACAAGUACCGUGAGGGAAAGAUGAAAAGAACUUUGAAAAGAGAGUUAAACAGUACGUGAAAUUGUCAAAAGGGAAGCGUUUGACACCAGUGUUGUUUUCUCGAAAAUCAAUUACAAAUGGUUUGGAUUUUGUGUAGUUAUGACUUCAUCAGCUUUCUGCACUUUCUUUAUAUCUUUCUUAAUGCACUUUUCGUUUAACAAGUCAACAUCAAUUUCUUUUGUUGUAAAAGGGUAUGAGGAAGGUGGCUUUCUUUUCGGAGAAAGUGUUUAUAGCCUUGUGCCUCUGCAAUCGGAGAGAUUGAGGUCUGCAGCGUAGAUCCUUCGGGGUUAGAUACGUAGAUGCUAAGUUAUAGUUUUUUAUAGACAACUUGUUGACUAUGAUUAAUCAUGUAGCUUACUCGUUUACGCUAUUUUACCUACGCUUAGGAUGUUGACAGCAGUAUAGACUGU
rnacentral:rRNA from 1 species